rnacentral:rRNA from 1 species
AACGUAGGAGGCGAGCGUUAUCCGGAUUUACUGGGCGUAAAGCGCGCGUAGGCGGUUGGUCAAGUCGGAUGUGAAAGCCCCUGGCUCAACUGGGGGAGGCCAUUCGAUACUGAUCGGCUUGAGGGUGAGAGAGGAAAGUGGAAUUCCCGGUGUAGCGGUGGAAUGCGUAGAGAUCGGGAGGAACACCAGUGGCGAAAGCGGCUUUCUGGCUCACCCCUGACGCUGAGUGCGCGACAGCGUGGGGA